AGUGAACGCUGGCGGUAGGCCUAACACAUGCAAGUCGAACGGCAGCACAGUAAGAGCUUGCUCUUACGGGUGGCGAGUGGCGGACGGGUGAGGAAUAUAUCGGAAUCUACUUUUUCGUGGGGGAUAACGUAGGGAAACUUACGCUAAUACCGCAUACGACCUACGGGUGAAAGCAGGGGAUCUUCGGACCUUGCGCGAUUGAAUGAGCCGAUGUCGGAUUAGCUAGUUGGCGGGGUAAAGGCCCACCAAGGCGACGAUCCGUAGCUGGUCUGAGAGGAUGAUCAGCCACACUGGAACUGGGACACGGUCCAGACUCCUACGGGAGGCAGCAGUGGGGAAUAUUGGACAAUGGGCGCAAGCCUGAUCCAGCCAUACCGCGUGGGUGAAGAAGGCCUUCGGGUUGUAAAGCCCUUUUGUUGGGAAAGAAAAGCAGCAGGUUAAUACCCCGCUGUUCUGACGGUACCCAAAGAAUAAGCACCGGCUAACUUCGUG
rnacentral:rRNA from 1 species